CCGUCCCGCCUGCGCGGAUCCCUCCGCCCGCUCCGAGGGUCCGCGGAAAGUAGUCCCGCGCGCCCUCUGCCCUGACGCGGUGUGUGCCAGCUACCCGAGUGAAAGGUUUUCGGGGGAUUAAUCCUGAUGGGGUCUGCGGCGGCCCUUGCCCAGCGCCUUCCACAUGUGGAGCGGGCCAGUGGUGCUAGUUCUGCCGCCAACUCUGGACGGUUGAGUUCAGGGCCACUUUUUACUCAGGCACGGAUGUGACAGAAAGAUGGAAAAGGGUCUUGGAAGAACCACAUGUGCCGUAUAACGAACGACCUUUUGGUCUGAGGAGGACCGUGUAUAUGACGGUGGUCCCAUAACAUGAUAACGGAGCUGGAAACUUCCUGUCCUCUGGUGAGGGCUUAGCUAAGGACAUUUCCUCUCCUGUAUUUGGAGAUACACGUACAGGUGGAUCUGAAGCAGUGCUGCCUUAGUCUCCUUGGACUCUCAGCUCCAUUUCCUCAGCUCAAGUAGUCCACUGGGCUCUACCUCAGUUCUGCCUCCUCUUGCUGUGGCCUAGAAAUUCUCUCUGGAUAUCAGAAAACAAAGGACAGUAAUCCCUGCCAAGAUGGGAUACAAACAAGGUGAGCCCCAUGAUUGCCCAAGCGUACUACCUGGAGUGUCUUCUUCUGUUUUUUUCUUUUUCUUUUUUUUCUUCAAGAUGGGAUCUUCCUGUGUUGCCCAGGCUGGAGUGCAGUGCCAUGAUCAUGGCUAAUUGCAGCCUUGAACUCCUGGCCUCAAAUGGUCCUCCCACCUCAGCCUCCCAUGUAGCUAGGUCUCCAAGCGCAUGCUACUGUGCCCAGCAUGGUAUCCAGUGUCUUGAAACCACCAUUGCAUGUAUUUUUGACGGGCUCCUUUGGUUGUUUCAGGUAGAAGGGUCAACCUGGUCCCUGUUACUCCAUCUUGUCUGUAAGUUGAAGGCCUUGAUGUUUUCUGCUUAUCUCUUCAUCAUCUCCAAACGGUGGUGGUAAAGUCACUCACGACUGCUGUUUCCUUCAAGGGAGGAAACGUGCGAAGACUUUGCCCACACAAUCUCAAUUUGUCCUCAUAACGUUGCAGAUUUUUUUUUUUUUUUUUUUUUUUGAGACGGAGUCUUGCUCUGUUGCCGAGGCUGGAGUGCAGUGGCGCGAUCUUGGCUCACUGCAACCUCUGCCUCCCGGGUUCAAGCAAUUCUCCUGCCUCAGCCUCCCGAGUAGCUGGGAUUACAGGUGUGUGCCACCACACCCAGCUAAUUUUUGUAUUUUUAGUAGAGACGGGGGUUUCAUCAUGUUGGUCAGGCUGGCUCGAACUCCUGACCUCGUGAUCUGCCCACCUUGGCCUCCCAGAGUGCUGGGAUUAUAGGUGUGAGCCACUGUGCCCGACCCCAGUGCAGAUUUUUUUAGUCUCAAUCUCUAUUUGACAGCUAAAAAACUGAGGCCCAGAUGUUUGCUGGUUUGGAGCCCAGACAGGCCUGUUGGCAUAUAUUGCUUCCUGGAGCUCCACAAAGCUCGCAAUGUCUUGCUGCAUAGUUGCUAAGG
rnacentral:lncRNA from 10 species